rnacentral:rRNA from 1 species
AUACGUAGGGGGCGAGCGUUGUCCGGAAUGAUUGGGCGUAAAGGGCGCGUAGGCGGCCUGUUAAGUCUGGAGUGAAAGUCCUGUUUUCAAGGUGGGAAUUGCUUUGGAUACUGCCGCGCUUGAGUGCAGGAGAGGUUAUCGGAAUUCCCGGUGUAGCGGUGAAAUGCGUAGAGAUCGGGAGGAACACCAGUGGCGAAGGCGGGUAACUGGACUGCAACUGACGCUGAGGCGCGAAAGUGUGGGGAGCAAACAGGAUUAGAUACCCUGGUAGUCCACGCUGUAAACGAUGAAUGCUAGGUGUAGGGGGUAUCGACCCCUCCUGUGCCGGAGUAAACGCAAUAAGCAUUCCGCCUGGGGAGUACGGCCGCAAGGUUGAAACUCAAAUGAAUUGGCGGGG